rnacentral:rRNA from 1 species
CAGAACGACCCGCGAACAGGUGAAAAAAUCAAUCGGGAGAGACGUGCCUUUCGGCCUUUCCCCCGGGGUCCCGAGCAAAGGUUGCGGUUGAAGGCCACGUCCUUUGCCACGGGGCAAAACAAACAAAACCCCGGCGCAAACCGCGCCAAGGAAAACAAAGGAAGAUGCGCUCCCCUCGUCCCGGAAACGGUACGUCGGGAGUUCCAUCGUCGUUAUCGAUUUCGAAACGACUCUCGGCAACGGAUAUCUCGGCUCUCGCAUCGAUGAAGAACGUAGCGAAAUGCGAUACUUGGUGUGAAUUGCAGAAUCCCGUGAACCAUCGAGUUUUUGAACGCAAGUUGCGCCCGAAGCCGUCAGGCCGAGGGCACGCCUGCCUGGGUGUCACGAAAAGUCGCCAAACAUCCCCUCACCCCUCACGAGGCGAGGGGCGGCGGAUAUUGGCCUCCCGUGUGCUCGUGUACGCGGUUGGCCCAAAAAGGAGGCCUCCGUGCAAGGCGGCCGCGACACACGGUGGUUGAAAGCACACGCUCUCUCCGAACACCGUCGCGGCCUAUCCUUGUAUACGGGGAGCCAAAGACCCCGACGCGAAGCGUCCUCACGAAGCGACCC